rnacentral:lncRNA from 8 species
AUGUCAUCACACACAAGACAUUUAGCCAGCCUGGCUGUUUAUUUAAUGAAGAAGUGCUACUUUAAAGAGGCUCUUCCCCCUGAGUCACAACCUAUUAAUAGGGUAAGUACAAAAUGACUCAUUUCCUUUCUACUGAGUGACAGGGACAGCUGGAGUGUCUUUCAUACCACCUUUUACAUAGGUAAUAUUUAUGCCGUAAAACAUCGACAGGUUAUUGAAAUUCAGCACUGGAUGAAAGAUAGAGGACUUUGUUAAAGUACAAGAAGUUAAUUUGUUAAGCUGAGUCCUGCUUUGUAAAGAGAUAUGGAGACUGUGUUUGGACUGUUGCUGAUCUUAGCAGGAGUGUCUCAUGGCAUGGAGAGCUCCUGUGAUGCUAGAGAGGAUGGAGCUCAGUGUUAUGGUGCUCUCGGAGGAACUGUCUUUCUCCAGUUGAUCACCAAUGCCAGUGGACAUCAGUUUAGAUUUUGGAAGGACCCAACUGGUGCUAAAACAGAGAUACUCACAAUGAGAAGAAAUAUAUCGAUAACAAAAGGGCCUAUUAAAGGCAGGUCAGAGUUCUUUAUAAACAAGGGGAUAUUCAGGAUAGAUAACACAGUAAGGAAUGAUUCUGAUAAAUACUGUGCUGAAACAUUUGAUUCAAAUGGAAUGUCGUUAUCAGGCACCAGAAGACUACAACUGUUCAUUGAAGCCCCUGUGACACAGGCUAAGCUGUCCUCUAAGUGUCUGUCCCUUGGAGCGAUGAGGGUAUCUUGUUCCUCUGAGGGGGACAGUCCCCAGUACAGCUGGACUCUGGAUGGACACCCACUGAACAACAAUGAUAACUCUUUUGGUGAGAUGACAAACUCCAUCACACUGCAGAAAGGCCUGUCUGGGGAUCUCAACUGCACCAUCAGAAACAAUAUCAGCAGUGUUACUGUCAGCAGGAUAAUCUUACCUUGUCCAGAGAUCAUAGGGAUGGUAGCAGGGUCUCUGGUAGGCAUAGUCCUUGUCCUAGGGAUGGUGUUGGUAGUUUACUGUGUCCAGAAGAAGAAGACACCUCCAAAGACUUCAGCUAAGGAUAACAGCCAGGAGGUGGAAUAUGUUGAUGUCAGGAUACAAAAGAAGCAGAUGAGACAGAAGGAGAGGGAGGCGCUGGUGGAGUUGGAGUACGGAGAGGAGAAAGUGGCGGGGGGUCCCCAGCAGACGAUGGAGGUGGAGUAUGGACACUUUAAAAUAUUAGAGGGUCCCUCGAAGAAGGUACACACACCUGAGGAGGAGGACUGUGUGUACGCCAGGGUACAGAAAGGCCAGGGAGCAAGGUAGUGUCUAGAUAGAGUAGAAGAGGCUGAGCGUUUAAUCACUCGUUGCGUCCCAAUAAUCUCUCCUUUCUUAAAGUGUUGACUUGUUCACUUCCCUUCACGUAUUUCAAAGGAAAUUAAUGGUAUAUGGCAACUUCCUAUACCAAUCCAAUUAUUUAAAAUGUGUGGGGAGUAGUGAAGGAAUGCACACAUCUGGAAGAAGGAGAAAUUAUUGGGAUGCAAUCCUGAGGCCCGGAGUUGAUACAGACGACAGCUAUGUCUAAUCAUGUUGUUUUACAGUUACAGUAACAGCUUUGUUUUGCAUGUUCACACUUUAGAACACAUAUUGUCUGUUUCCAAGAAGUGGAUACAUCACUUCAGUUUCUUUACCACGUGUCUUUCUUUGGAAAACGGUUUUAACACAAACUCAGCAAAAAAAGAAACGUCCCUUUUUCAUUCUUUCAAAGAUAAUUCGUUGAUCUUUCAUAGAUCUUCAUUGUAAACGAUUUAAACACUGUUUCCCAUGCUUGUUCAAUGAACCAUAAACAAUUAAUGAACAUGCACCUGUGGAACGGUUGUUAAGACAUUAACAGCUUACAGAUGGUAGGCAAUUAAGGUCACAGUUCUGAAAACUUAGGACACUUAGGACACUUUCUAUUAACUCUGAAAAACACCAAAAGAAAGAUGCCCAGGGUCCCUGCUCAUCUGUGUGAACGUGGCUUAGGCAUGCUGCAAGUAGGCAUUAGGACUGCAGAUGUGGCCAGAGCAAUACAUUGCAAUGUCUGUACUGUGAGAUGCCUAAGACAGCGCUACAGGGAGACAGUGAGACAGUAGACAGCUGAUAAUCCUCGCAGUGGCAGACCACGUGUAACAACACCUGCACAGGAUCGGUACAGCCGAACAUCACACCUGCGGGACAGGUACAGGAUGGCAACAAUAUCUGCCCGAGUUACACCAGGAACGUACAAUCCAUCCAUCAGUGCUCAGACUGUCCGCAAUAGGCUGAGAGAGGCUGGAAUGAGGGCUUGCAGGCCUGUUGUAAGGCAGGUCCUCACCAGACAUCAGCGGCAACAACGUUGCCUAUGGGCACAAACCCACCGUCACUGGACCAGACAGGACUGGCAAAAAGUGCUCUUCACUGACGAGUCGUGGUUUUGUCUCACAAGGGGUGAUGCUCAGAUUCGCGUUUAUCGUCUAAGGAACGAGCAUUACACCGAGGCCUGUACUCUGGAGCGGGAUCGAUUUGGAGGUGGAGGGUCCGUCAUGGUCUGGGGCGGUGUGUCACAGAAUUAUCGGACUGAGCUUGUUGUCAUUGCAGGCAAUCUCAUCGCUGUGCGUUACAGGGAAGACAUCCUCCUCACUCAUGUGGUACCCUGCCUGCAGGCUCAUCCUUAAAUGACCCUCCAGCAUGACAAUGCCACCAGCCAUACUGCUUGUUCUGUGCGUGAUUUCCUGCAAGACAGGAAUGUCAGUGUUCUACCAUGGCCAGAGAAGAGCCCGGAUCUCAAUCCAAUUGAGAACGUCUGGGACCUGUUGGAUAGGAGGGUGAGGGCUAGGGCCAUUCCCCCCAGAAAUGUCCAGGAACUUGCAAAUGCCUUGGUGGAAGAGUGGGGUAACAUCUCACAGCAAGAACUGGCAAAUCUGGUGCAGUCCAUGAGGAGGAGAUGCACUGCAGUACUUAACGCAGCUGGUGGCUACACCAGAUACUGACUGACCCCCCGUUCAUGGACACAUUUGAUUUCUGUUAGUCACAUGUCAGUGGAACUUGUUCAGUUUAUGUCUCAGUUGUUGAAUCUUAUGUUCAUACAAAUAUUUACACAUUAUGUUUGCUGAAAAUAAAUGCAGUUGACAGUGAGAGGACUUUUUUUUUUUUGCUGAGUUUAGUUGUGUGGUGUUCACGUGUUCCUUGUGUCAGUUGUGUGAUAUGUCACAAAGUCUUUCAUGUUUUUGCUGCAUGAUAGAAGUAAUGAUAGUUAUUUAAAAUAAUGUUUAAGGAAUUUGUGAUUUUUAAUAAUUGCAUAACAAAUGUUUUAGAUAUUAUAGUAUACUUACUUACUAAUUUCCAAUACCUUAAGUCAAUACUUUGAAGCUUGCAGUCAGUCUCCCUCAUGGACACAUUCUGAGAUAUUGAAAAAAUGUAAUGCACUCUUAUUAGCCAUUUGUCUAUGAGGAAAAUUAUCCUGACAUGUCUCAUAUCUAAGAAACAUGAUAAUCUUUAUAUUGUUUUUUCGCAAUUGUCUUUUUUUUUGCUAGUGCAAUAAGCUAAUGUUGUAAAAUAGUUUCUGAAAUACAUGACCAUAUCUUUUCACAAUCAAAAUAUAUUUUUCUUCCACAUCUCUGGUUUUGUGGGCUUAAAGUUGCUUAUGCAUUUCCAGUUUAGAAUCCCCUCAACCAGAGGUGGUGGACAGACUGAUUGGCUAAAACCAACAUAAUGUAGCUUUUCUUCAAGACAUUACCAUAUUUGGUUAGCUCUUCUGAAUAACUAAAAGUAAAGAAUAUAUGACUUCACCAUUAUGUCAGUGUCACUCAAAAUAAGUUAAUCUUAAAGAAGAAACUGAGAAGAGGAUGUUGAGAAAUAAAGAUACUGAUCAACACACACAUGACAUGCAGAGGAAUCACUUGUCAUUCUUGAUCGUUGAUGCCACUGUGUGAUUGGAAACUGCAAUUUGAUAAUAAAAUCCUGUGUUUUAAAAACAAGCGAAAGUUGUUCCUGGCUUCUCUAAUAGUACAGUAUAGAGGUCAGAUGUCCAAGAUUAAGAGCAUUGGCCUACCAUGUAUCCCAUCUGAGGAGUAAUAAACAGUCUUUAUGGCCAAUCAUAGUUGAAUUCUCCACAAC